rnacentral:lncRNA from 1 species
GUGUCGGCGGUGCCCAGCUCACUGGCCCCCUCCCUCUCUUGUCGAGCGUGGUUGCCAGAGAGGCUCCCUCAGCCCUGCUCCGCGGGGUCCACAGCGGGCUCCACAGCGGGCUCCAUAGCGGGCUCCACAGCGGUCCGGCGGCGGCAGCGAGCCCGUGGGCAGUGGGGGUUGGUCCCGUGGCUCCGGCCCCCGGUGCAGAAUGGCGGCGGCGGUUCGGAUGAACAUCCAGAUGCUGCUGGAGGCGGCCGACUAUCUGGAGCGGCGGGAGAGAGAAGCUGAACAUGGUUAUGCCUCCAUGUUACCAUACAAUAACAAGGACAGAGAUGCCUUAAAACGGAGGAACAAAUCCAAAAAGAAUAACAGCAGUAGCAGGUAAUUUGGUAAAUACUUCUUUCUGUCUUUUAGAUUAUAUUGUAGGUGACACAAACUGCUGAAUGUAAGUUUUCUGUUGUGAUUAUAACCCUAUAAAAUUACAUUGUGGCCGUCAUGAUUCAGUAAUGUACACAUGGACUUAAGCCAUUGCAGGAAGCUGUUUCUGUUUGGGUUGAGGGAACUGAAAAGAAAAAUAGAAAUGUUUUACAUUUCUUUAUGAACUUUA